rnacentral:rRNA from 1 species
CAGUCGAACGGUAACAGGGAGCUUGCUCCGCUUGACGAGUGGCGAACGGGUGAGUAAUGUAUCGGAACGUACCAUUCAGUGGGGGAUAACGUAGCGAAAGUUACGCUAAUACCGCAUAUUCUGUGAGCAGGAAAGCAGGGGAUCGCAAGACCUUGCGCUGAUUGAGCGGCCGAUAUCAGAUUAGCUAGUUGGUGAGGUAAAAGCUCACCAAGGCGACGAUCUGUAGCGGGUCUGAGAGGAUGAUCCGCCACACUGGAACUGAGACACGGUCCAGACUCCUACGGGAGGCAGCAGUGGGGAAUUUUGGACAAUGGGGGCAACCCUGAUCCAGCCAUGCCGCGUGAGUGAAGAAGGCCUUCGGGUUGUAAAGCUCUUUCAGCCGGGAAGAAAAUGCAUGGGUUAAUACCCUGUGCAGAUGACGGUACCGGAAUAAGAAGCACCGGCUAACUACGUGCCAGCAGCCGCGGUAAUACGUAGGGUGCGAGCGUUAAUCGGAAUUACUGGGCGUAAAGCGUGCGCAGGCGGUUUUGUAAGACAGGCGUGAAAUCCCCGGGCUUAACCUGGGAACUGCGUUUGUGACUGCAAGGCUAGAGUACGGCAGAGGGGGGUGGAAUUCCACGUGUAGCAGUGAAAUGCGUAGAGAUGUGGAGGAACACCAAUGGCGAAGGCAGCCCCCUGGGUCGAUACUGACGCUCAUGCACGAA